rnacentral:rRNA from 1 species
AUAUCAGUCAUGCAUAGCAUAUCAAUAAGCGGAGGAAAAGAAACUAACAAGGAUUCCCUUAGUAACGGCGAGUGAAGCGGGAAGAGCUCAAAUCUGAAAUCUUCAAGGUUCUACCUUGACGAAUUGUAGUUUAUAGAAGUGUUUUCUGUUAGUGGAGUGGCAAAAGUUCUUUGGAAUAGGACAUCAUAGAGGGUGAGAAUCCCGUAUUUGGUCAUUCCUCCUAGCGUUGUGAUACACUUUCAACGAGUCGGAUUGUUUGGGAAUGCAGUCCAAAAUGGGUGGUAAAUUUCAUCUAAAGCUAAAUAUUGGCGAGAGACCGAUAGCGAACAAGUACCGUGAGGGAAAGAUGAAAAGAACUUUGAAAAGAGAGUUAAACAGUACGUGAAAUUGUCAAAAGGGAAGCGUUUGACACCAGUGUUGUUUUUCCGAAAAUCAAUUACGAAUGUUUUGUUUUUGAGGAGUUAUGACUUCAUCGGCUUGCUCCUUUCUUUAUGAAACUUUCUUAAUGCACUUUUCGGUUAACAAGUCAACAUCAAUUUCUUUUGUUGUAAAAGGGUAUGAGGAAGGUGGCUUUCUCUUCGGAGAAAGGUGUUUAUAGCCUUGUGCCUCUGCAAUCGGAGAGAUUGAGGUCUGCAGCGUAGAUCCUUCGGGGUUAGAUGCAUUUGUGCUAAGUUAUAGCCUUUCAUAGACAACAUUGUUGACUAUGCUUAAGUCAUUGUAGCUUACUCGCUUAUGCUAUUUUACCUACGCUUAGGAUGUUGAUGUGAUACUGCGAGC